rnacentral:rRNA from 1 species
GAUGAACGCUAGCUACAGGCUUAACACAUGCAAGUCGAGGGGUAACGAGAGGGAAGCUUGCUUUCCUUGUCGACGACCGGCGCACGGGUGAGUAACGCGUAUCCAACCUGCCCCCAACUAGGGAAUAACCUUGCGAAAGUAAGACUAAUACCCUAUAAUUUCCUCAGAUGUCAUCUGACGAGGAAUAAAGAUUUAUCGGUUGUGGAUGGGGAUGCGUCUGAUUAGCUUGUUGGCGGGGUAAUGGCCCACCAAGGCAACGAUCAGUAGGGGUUCUGAGAAGAAGGUCCCCCACAUUGGAACUUAGACACGGUCCAAACUCCUACGGGAGGCAGCAGUGAGGAAUAUUGGUCAAUGGGCGGAAGCCUGAACCAGCCAAGUAGCGUGCAGGAUGACGGCCCUAUGGGUUGUAAACUGCUUUUAUACAGGAAUAAAGUUAGCCACGUGUGGUUAUUUGUAGGUACUGUAUGAAUAAGGACCGGCUAAUUCCGUGCCAGCAGCCGCAGUAA